rnacentral:rRNA from 1 species
UACGGGGGGGGCAAGCGUUGUUCGGAAUUACUGGGCGUAAAGGGCUCGUAGGCGGCCAACUAAGUCAGACGUGAAAUCCCCAGGCUCAACCUGGGAACUGCGUCCGAUACUGGCAGGCUUGAAUCCGGGAGAGGGAUGUGGAAUUCCCGGUGUAGCGGUGAAAUGCGCAGAUAUCGGGAGGAACACCUAUGGCGAAGGCAGCUCGCUGGGACGUUACUGACGCUGAGACGCGAAAGCGUGGGGAGCAAACAGG